rnacentral:rRNA from 1 species
UACGUAGGAGGCAAGCGUUGUCCGGAAUUACUGGGCGUAAAGAGCGUGUAGGCGGCCAGGUAGGUCUGCUGUGAAAACUCGAGGCUCAACCUCGAGACGUCGGCGGAAACCAUCUGGCUAGAGUCCGGAAGAGGAGGGUGGAAUUCCUGGUGUAGCGGUGAAAUGCGCAGAUAUCAGGAAGAACACCCGUGGCGAAGGCGGCUCUCUGGGACGGUACUGACGCUGAGACGCGAAAGCGUGGGGAGCGAACAGG